rnacentral:misc_RNA from 1 species
AAGAGUUUUCUACAACUCCCAAACCCCUGUGAACAUACCUUCUGUUGCCUCGGCAGGCCUCGCCUACCCUCGUAGCCCCCUACACCGUAGGGCCUACGCCGGGUGGUGCGCGGACCCUGCCGGCGGCCCGCGAAACUCUGUUUAGCACUGAAUCUCUGAACAUAUAACUAAAUAAGUUA